UACGGGAGGCAGCAGUGGGGAAUAUUGCACAAUGGGCGCAAGCCUGAUGCAGCCAUGCCGCGUGUAUGAAGAAGGCCUUCGGGUUGUAAAGUACUUUCAGUCGUGAGGAAGGUGUUAAGGUUAAUAACCUUAGCAAUUGACGUUAGCGACAGAAGAAGCACCGGCUAACUCCGUGCCAGCAGCCGCGGUAAUACGGAGGGUGCGAGCGUUAAAUCGGAAUUACUGGGCGUAAAGGGCACGCAGGCGGUUAAUUAAGUUGGAUGUGAAAUCCCCGGGCUUAAACCUGGGAAUGGCAUUCAAGACUGGUUAGCUAGAGUCUUGUAGAGGGGGUAGAAUUCCAUGUGUAGCGGUGAAAUGCGUAGAGAUGUGGAGGAAUACCGGUGGCGAAGGCGGCCCCUGGACAAAAGACUGACGCUCAUGUGCGAAAAGCGUGGGGAGUAAACAGGGAUUAGAUACC
rnacentral:rRNA from 1 species